CCAGAUGCUCCGCAGGGCGCAGCUUUAUACGACCGCAGAGGUUGAACCCUGAACGGUUGGGGCAAGUAUGGACACAACAUUCAAGCUGGAUUCAGCUCUAAAUUUGGAUUGUGAUUAAAUAGUUGACACAGCAUAGGUUUCCGACACAGAAUGAAUGUGGUCUAAUGAACUUAAAAUAUUUUGUUUGCCUUUGAGCAAUUCACUAUGCUGUUGAAUAUUAAUCCUCUCAAAAAAAAUGUUUGAAGAAAUUUUCUUUUUAUUUAUGAAAUCUG
rnacentral:lncRNA from 1 species